CGUAGGGUGCAAGCGUUAAUCGGAAUUACUGGGCGUAAAGCGUGCGCAGGCGGUUAUGUAAGACAGAGGUGAAAUCCCCGGGCUCAACCUGGGAACUGCCUUUGUGACUGCAUAGCUAGAGUACGGCAGAGGGGGAUGGAAUUCCGCGUGUAGCAGUGAAAUGCGUAGAUAUGCGGAGGAACACCGAUGGCGAAGGCAAUCCCCUGGGCCUGUACUGACGCUCAUGCACGAAAGCGUGGGGAGCAAACAGGAUUAGAUACCCUGGUAGUCCACGCCCUAAACGAUGUCAACUGGUUGUUGGGUCUUUACUGACUCAGUAACGAAGCUAACGCGUGAAGUUGACCGCCUGGGGAGUACGGCCGCAAGGUUG
rnacentral:rRNA from 1 species